AAAUGAUACAUACCUUUCUAUUCUUUGGCCAUGUAUUUUCCCAGGUCCUGGGUAAAGAAGACCCUUCAAAAGGCAUCAGAGAACGUUCUACAAUGUCCAUAUUUCUACAUCUUUUAUUAUCUUCUUUUGGCAUGAAGUCAGAAUAGGGAACCUUAAUCUGCAUUAAAAGUUCAUGGCCCAGGCUCUUCAGGAAUACAACAACUGAGAAAAGGAAGUUUCCAGAAAGGAGUUAACAUGGACUUUUGAAAUCACAGUGGGGCAAUUCUUGGAAGAAACACUUGCCAAUUGGAAAGUCUUUUUAGCUAAUAAUGAAAUAAAAAUAAAACAACCUUGA